rnacentral:rRNA from 1 species
UAACCUACGGGACGCAGCAGUGAGGAAUAUUGGUCAAUGGGAGAGAUCCUGAACCAGCCAAGCCGCGUGAGGGAGGACGGCCCUAUGGGUUGUAAACCUCUUUUGUCGGAGAACAAAACCCGGGACGAGUCCCGGACUGCGUGUAUCCGAAGAAAAAGCAUCGGCUAACUCCGUGCCAGCAGCCGCGGUAAUACGGAGGAUGCGAGCGUUAUCCGGAUUUAUUGGGUUUAAAGGGUGCGUAGGCGGUCCGUUAAGUCAUCGGGUAAAUUGCGGGUCUUAACCCCGUCGAGCAGUUGAAACUGGCA